UACGUAGGGUGCGAGCGUUAAUCGGAAUUACUGGGCGUAAAGCGUGCGCAGGCGGUUCGUUAAGUCAGAUGUGAAAGCCCCGGGCUCAACCUGGGAACUGCAUUUGAAACUGGCGGGCUUGAGUGUGGCAGAGGGGGGUGGAAUUCCGCGUGUAGCAGUGAAAUGCGUAGAGAUGCGGAGGAACACCGAUGGCGAAGGCAGCCCCCUGGGCCAACACUGACGCUCAGGCACGAAAGCGUGGAGAGCAAACAGG
rnacentral:rRNA from 1 species